rnacentral:rRNA from 1 species
GAUGGCCGUCGUCAGUUCGUACUGUGAAGCAUCCUGUUAAGUCAGGCAACGAGCGAGACCCACGCCCACAGUUGCCAGCGUACUCUCUGGAGUGACGGGUACACUGUGGGGACCGCCGCUGCUAAAGCGGAGGAAGGAAUGGGCAACGGUAGGUCAGUAUGCCCCGAAUAUCCCGGGCUACACGCGAGCUACAAUGGUUGGUACAAUGGGUAUCUACCCCGAAAGGGGACGGGAAUCUCCUAAAACCAAUCUUAGUUCGGAUUGAGGGCUGCAACUCGCCCUCAUGAAGCUGGAAUCCGUAGUAAUCGCGUUUCAACAGAACGCGGUGAAUACGUCCCUGCUCCUU